rnacentral:rRNA from 1 species
GAUGAACGCUGGCGGCGUGCCUAAUACAUGCAAGUCGAACGCACAGCGAAAGGUGCUUGCACCUUUCAAGUGAGUGGCGAACGGGUGAGUAACACGUGGACAACCUGCCUCAAGGCUGGGGAUAACAUUUGGAAACAGAUGCUAAUACCGAAUAAAACUCAGUGUCGCAUGACACAAAGUUAAAAGGCGCUUUGGCGUCACCCAGAGAUGGGUCCGCGGUG